UUAAGCGACUAAGCGUACACGGUGGAUGCCCUGGCAGUCAGAGGCGAUGAAGGACGUGCUAAUCUGCGAAAAGCGUCGGUAAGGUGAUAUGAACCGUUAUAGCCGGCGAUGUCCGAAUGGGGAAACCCAGUGCAAUUCGUUGCACUAUCGUUUGAUGAAUACAUAGUCAAACGAGGCGAACCGGGGGAACUGAAACAUCUAAGUACCCCGAGGAAAAGAAAUCAACCGAGAUUCCCCCAGUAGCGGCGAGCGAACGGGGAGCAGCCCGGAGUCUGAAUCAGCUUGUGUGUUAGUGGAAGCGUCUGGAAAGUCGCAGGGUACAGGGUGAUACUCCCGUACACUAAAGCACACAGGCUGUGAACUCGAAGAGUAGGGCGGGACACGUGGUAUCCUGUCUGAAUAUGGGGGGACCAUCCUCCAAGGCUAAAUACUCCUGACUGACCGAUAGUGAACCAGUACCGUGAGGGAAAGGCGAAAAGAACCCCGGCGAGGGGAGUGAAAAAGAACCUGAAACCGUGUACGUACAAGCAGUAGGAGCCUCUUUAUGGGGUGACUGCGUACCUUUUGUAUAAUGGGUCAGCGACUUAUAUUCUGUAGCAAGGUUAACCGUAUAGGGGAGCCGCAGGGAAACCGAGUCUUAACUGGGCGUUAAGUUGCAGGGUAUAGACCCGAAACCCGGUGAUCUAGCCAUGGGCAGGUUGAAGGUUGGGUAACACUAACUGGAGGACCGAACCGACUAAUGUUGAAAAAUUAGCGGAUGACUUGUGGCUGGGGGUGAAAGGCCAAUCAAACCGGGAGAUAGCUGGUUCUCCCCGAAAGCUAUUUAGGUAGCGCCUCGUGAACUCAUCUUCGGGGGUAGAGCACUGUUUCGGCUAGGGGGUCAUCCCGACUUACCAACCCGAUGCAAACUACGAAUACCGAAGAAUGUUAUCACGGGAGACACACGGCGGGUGCUAACGUCCGUCGUGAAGAGGGAAACAACCCAGACCGCCAGCUAAGGUCCCAAAGUCAUGGUUAAGUGGGAAACGAUGUGGGAAGGCCCAGACAGCCAGGAUGUUGGCUUAGAAGCAGCCAUCAUUUAAAGAAAGCGUAAUAGCUCACUGGUCGAGUCGGCCUGCGCGGAAGAUGUAACGGGGCUAAACCAUGCACCGAAGCUGCGGCAGCGACACUAUGUGUUGUUGGGUAGGGGAGCGUUCUGUAAGCCGUUGAAGGUGGCCUGUGAGGGUUGCUGGAGGUAUCAGAAGUGCGAAUGCUGACAUAAGUAACGAUAAUGCGGGUGAAAAACCCGCACGCCGGAAGACCAAGGGUUCCUGUCCAACGUUAAUCGGGCAGGGUGAGUCGACCCCUAAGGCGAGGCCGAAAGGCGUAGUCGAUGGGAAACAGGUUAAUAUUCCUGUACUCGGUGUUACUGCGAAGGGGGGACGGAGAAGGCUAUGUUGGCCGGGCGACGGUUGUCCCGGUUUAAGCAUGUAGGCGGAUGUUCCAGGUAAAUCCGGAACGUUAUCAACGCUGAGGUGUGAUGACGAGGCACUACGGUGCUGAAGUGACAAAUGCCCUGCUUCCAGGAAAAGCCUCUAAGCAUCAGGUAACAUCAAAUCGUACCCCAAACCGACACAGGUGGUCAGGUAGAGAAUACCAAGGCGCUUGAGAGAACUCGGGUGAAGGAACUAGGCAAAAUGGUGCCGUAACUUCGGGAGAAGGCACGCUGAUAGGUAGGUGAAGUGGUUUACCCAUGGAGCUGAAAUCAGUCGAAGAUACCAGCUGGCUGCAACUGUUUAUUAAAAACACAGCACUGUGCAAACACGAAAGUGGACGUAUACGGUGUGACGCCUGCCCGGUGCCGGAAGGUUAAUUGAUGGGGUUAUCCGUAAGGAGAAGCUCUUGAUCGAAGCCCCGGUAAACGGCGGCCGUAACUAUAACGGUCCUAAGGUAGCGAAAUUCCUUGUCGGGUAAGUUCCGACCUGCACGAAUGGCGUAAUGAUGGCCAGGCUGUCUCCACCCGAGACUCAGUGAAAUUGAACUCGCUGUGAAGAUGCAGUGUACCCGCGGCAAGACGGAAAGACCCCGUGAACCUUUACUAUAGCUUGACACUGAACACUGGUCCUUGAUGUGUAGGAUAGGUGGGAGGCUUUGAAGCGUGGACGCCAGUCUGCGUGGAGCCAUCCUUGAAAUACCACCCUUUAAUGGCUGGUGUUCUAACGUGGGCCCCUAAUCGGGGUUGCGGACAGUGUCUGGUGGGUAGUUUGACUGGGGCGGUCUCCUCCUAAAGAGUAACGGAGGAGCACGAAGGUCAGCUAAUCCUGGUCGGACAUCAGGAGGUUAGUGCAAUGGCAUAAGCUGGCUUGACUGCGAGCGUGACGGCGCGAGCAGGUGCGAAAGCAGGUCAUAGUGAUCCGGUGGUUCUGAAUGGAAGGGCCAUCGCUCAACGGAUAAAAGGUACUCCGGGGAUAACAGGCUGAUACCGCCCAAGAGUUCAUAUCGACGGCGGUGUUUGGCACCUCGAUGUCGGCUCAUCACAUCCUGGGGCUGAAGUAGGUCCCAAGGGUAUGGCUGUUCGCCAUUUAAAGUGGUACGCGAGCUGGGUUUAGAACGUCGUGAGACAGUUCGGUCCCUAUCUGCCGUGGGCGCUGGAGAAUUGAGGGGGGCUGCUCCUAGUACGAGAGGACCGGAGUGGACGCAUCACUGGUGUUCGGGUUGUCAUGCCAAUGGCAUUGCCCGGUAGCUAAAUGCGGAAGAGAUAAGUGCUGAAAGCAUCUAAGCACGAAACUUGCCCCGAGAUGAGUUCUCCCUGACUCCUUGAGAGUCCUGAAGGAACGUUGAAGACGACGACGUUGAUAGGCCGGGUGUGUAAGCGCAGCGAUGCGUUGAGCUAACCGGUACUAAUGAACCGUGAGGCUUAACCUU
rnacentral:rRNA from 2 species